AGAGUUCCCGUUCACACCCCCUCCUUGACGGUGUGGGUUCACUUGUUUUCCUUUUUACUUCAUAAAGCAAUUUUGGCCUAUUUUCAGAUCCUGGUUCUCCAGGAACGAGUGCCAAAACCAAAAGUGCUUGAGUUUGACUUCAGAGAUUUCAGUUUUCCAGUGUCUGCAGCCCUACAUCACAGAGGCCUUUUGGAAGUGUUAUCCCAGAGGGCAAGACCUUCACUGGUGGCCUGCCCCACUUCUCAGAGUUGCUUUGCAACUGAAGCACACAAAAACAGUGAAGAAAGGAGGGGAAGUGGCCGCUUACACCACAGUGUGAGGGAGCUGCCUGCACUUCAAAGCUCCUGAGGCUCUUUGCAGACAGGAAGGGCUGCUCUGUGACGCUGGGGCGUGAGGCAAGCCAAUGGCAAGGAAAUGGCGAGGCCUAUGGGAUGUGAAAGUUGCGAGUGUGUCAAAGGCAGGACGGAAGCAUUGUAGGGGGCAGCCCUAUUUUUAGCCACCUCUUGCAGAACUUUGCUAAUGCUUGCUGUAGUGAAAUAGCUGUUUCCCCUUUCCUUGAUGUAAGCAGAGCUGACUGAGUUCAAGUCUGUUUUUAUAUAGCUACUCACAUGAUAGUAUUGAGUGAAAGGUCCCUUAAGCCCCUUAGACUUGGAAACACCCAUGAUCAGAGAGUCCUGGUGAAGAGAACAGAAAGCAUCUGACUGCUUCCCUGUCUCCAUUUCAGGACUGUGAGAGGUAGAAAC
rnacentral:lncRNA from 1 species